ensembl:lncRNA
AGUCACUUUAGUUGUGUCCAACUCUUUGUGAACCCAUGGAUUGUGGCCUACCAGGCUCCUCUGUCCAUGGGAUUUUCCCAGCAAGAAUACUGGAGUGUACUGCUAUGCCCACCUCCAGGGGAUCUUCCUGACCCAGGGAUGGAACCCAUGUCUCCUGCAUCUCCUGCAUUGCAGGUGGGUUCUUUGCUGCUGAGCCACCAGGGAAGCCAAAAAUUGAUUAACCCACCAUAUUAAUUCCAUAACCCACUAAUAGGUUGUGACUUGCAUUUUGCUAAGCACUGAUCUGCACAAGUCACUGAGGUUUCAUGUAUUAUCCAACUGACCAGGACAGCUGUCAAAUGUCUACCUCAUUUGGUGCAGUCUCCAAUAGGAAAACCUUGCCCACAAAAGGAGUUGAGGUGACCUCACUGAGUCUUCUCAGCAUCUUCACCAGGAGUAGAUUCCAUCCCAAGAAAUCACUGUCAAGCUUCCCUGGUGGCUCAGUGGUGAAAAAAAAAAAAAAAAAAAUCCACUUGCCAAUGCACGAGACACGGAUUUGAUCGCUGAUUCCAGGAAGAUGCCACAUGCCUUGGAGCAGCUAAGCCCGUGUAUACUACAGCUGUUGAGCCUGUGCUCUAGAGCCUGGGAGCUGCAACUAGUGAGCCCACGUGUCACAACUACUGAAACCUUCACGUCCUGGAGCCCAGGCUGUGCAACAAGAGCAGCCGCUGCAAUGAGGAACCCGAGCACCACAGCUAGAGAAAGCCCUUGGGCAGCAAUGAAGACCCAGCACAGCCAAGAAUCAAAUACAUAAUGAAAUAAAAUUGUUUUAGAAAGAAAUCACUUUCUUCCCUCAUUCAUAAGAAGCAACUCUUCACCCACUAAAAUUUUAAAUUGAUGUUACAGCAAUUUAGUCGCAUUGUCAGGCUGCAUUUCUAAUUCUGCUUCUCUUGCAGUUUUCAUCACAUCUGCAAUUACUUCCUCCACGGAAGUCUUGAACUCCUCAAAGUCAUCCAUGACUGUUGGAAUCAACUUCGUCUAAACUCCUGUUAAUGCUGAUAUUUUGACCUUUCCCCAUGAAUCACAAAUAUUCUUAAUGGCGUCUAGAAUGUUGAAUUCUUUCCAGAAGGUUUUCAAUUGAUUUUGCCCAGAUCCAUC